UACGUAGGUGGCAAGCGUUGUCCGGAAUUAUUGGGCGUAAAGAGCAUGUAGGCGGGAAUCUAAGUCUGUUGUGAAAAUGCGGGGCUCAACCCCGUAUGGCGAUGGAAACUGGAUUUCUUGAGUGCAGGAGAGGAAAGGGGAAUUCCCAGUGUAGCGGUGAAAUGCGUAGAUAUUGGGAGGAACACCAGUGGCGAAGGCGCCUUUCUGGACUGUGUCUGACGCUGAGAUGCGAAAGCCAGGGUAGCAAACGGGAUUAGAUACCCCGGUAGU
rnacentral:rRNA from 1 species